rnacentral:rRNA from 1 species
CCCUUAGAUGUCCUGGGCCGCACGCGCGCUACACUGAUGCAUUCAACAAGCCUAGCCUUGACCGAGAGGUCCGGGUAAUCUUUGAAACUGCAUCGUGAUGGGGCUAGAUUAUUGCAAUUAUUAAUCUUCAACGAGGAAUGCCUAGUAAGCGUGAUUCAUCAAAUCGCGUUGAUUACGUCCCUGCCCUUUGUACACACCGCCCGUCGCUCCUACCGAUUGGAUGGUCCGGUGAAGCCUCGGGAUUGUGGUUCUUGCCGCUUUAUUGUGGCGUGACCGCGAGAACUUGUCUAAACCUUAUCAUCUAGAGGAAGGUGAAGUCGUAACA